rnacentral:rRNA from 1 species
GGGCCCGCACAAGCGGUGGAGCAUGUGGUUUAAUUCGAUGCAACGCGAAGAACCUUACCUACUCUUGACAUCCCUGGAACCCUCUGGAGACAGAGGGGUGCCUUCGGGAGCCAGGUGACAGGUGCUGCAUGGCUGUCGUCAGCUCGUGUCGUGAGAUGUUGGGUUAAGUCCCGUAACGAGCGCAACCCUCGUCCUUAGUUGCCAGCACGUCAUGGUGGGAACUCUAAGGAGACUGCCGGUGAUAAACCGGAGGAAGGUGGGGAUGAUGUCAAGUCCUCAUGGCCUUUAUGUCUAGGGCUGCACACGUCCUACAAUGGUACGGACAAACGGACGCAAUACCGCGAGGUGGAGCAAAUCCUAGAAACCGUGCCUCAGUUCGGAUUGCAGGCUGCAACUCGCCUGCAUGAAGCCGGAAUCGCUAGUAA